rnacentral:rRNA from 1 species
GUGGGGAAUAUUCCGCAAUGGACGAAAGUCUGACGGAGCAACGCCGCGUGAGUGAAGAAGGCCUUCGGGUCGUAAAGCUCUGUCUUCAGGGACGAAAAGGCAGGGGAGUAAUAUGCCCUUGUUGUGACGGUACCUGAGGAGGAAGCUCCGGCUAACUACGUGCCAGCAGCCGCGGUAAUACGUAGGGAGCGAGCGUUGUCCGGAAUUACUGGGCGUAAAGGGCGCGUAGGCGGGAAUUUAAGUAAGGUGUGAAAACUCCGGGCUCAACCUGGAGACUGCACUUUAAACUGGAUUUCUUGAGGGCAGGAGAGGAAAGUGGAAUUCCUAGUGUAGCGGUGAAAUGCGUAGAUAUUAGGAGGAACACCAGUGGCGAAGGCGACUUUCUGGACUGUACCUGACGCUGAGGCGCGAAAGCGUGGGGAGCGAACAGGAUUAGAAACCCCUGUAGUCU